rnacentral:tRNA from 1 species
GGUUGUGGCUCAGUGGUAGAGCUUUUGCCUAGCAUGUGUGAGGCACUGGGUUCAAUCCUCAGCACCA